rnacentral:rRNA from 1 species
GACGAACCGUGCGAACGUUGUUCGGAAUCACUGGGCUUAAAGGGCGCGUAGGCGGGCCGUCAAGUCAGGGGUGAAAGCCUCCAGCUCAACUGGAGAAGUGCCUUUGAUACUGGCGGCCUCGAGGGAGAUAGGGGCGUGCGGAACUUCCGGUGGAGCGGUGAAAUGCGUAGAUAUCGGAAGGAACACCGGUGGCGAAAGCGGCGCGCUGGAUCUCUUCUGACGCUGAGGCGCGAAAGCCAGGGGAGCGAACGGG